rnacentral:rRNA from 1 species
UACGUAGGGGGCGAGCGUUGUCCGGAUUUAUUGGGCGUAAAGGGUCCGGAGGCGGUCGUUGAAGUUUCGCGUGACAGUCCUCGGCUUAACUGAGGAAGGAUGCGGAAACUAGAAUGCUAGAGGGUGGGAGAGGUAAGCGGAAUUCCUGGUGUAGCGGUGAAAUGCGUAGAUAUCAGGAGGAACACCUGUGGUGUAGACAGCUUACUGGACCACUUCUGACGCUGAGACACGAAAGCGUGGGUAGCAAACAGG